UCAUAGUUAGUGUUAUAGUUAAGAGGGGUUCAGGGAUUAGCCCCUUCCCCGCACCCGGUGCCGGGGCCCAUGCCUGGUUCACCGAGUUUCAAACCGUGCUCGGCCUGUUGCAAGCCGAUGCCGACAGGAGAUCUACACAACUCCUGUCUUAAGUGCCUCGGGGAAUCUCACCUAGCAGAUAAGUGUCGCAUUUGCAAGGCCUUUAAGCCUAGAACAAAAAAGGAGCGAGACUUUCGGCUAACACAGCUCCUCAUGGAGGCGGCUCUUACCCCUCCGCCUUCGGCACCUAGCACUGGACAAUCGGCGGGCAGAAGUGCCUCCUCGGCAUCGGACCACGCCAGUACUGCCAAGGCCUCUCGCCACCAGCCGUCGCCGGCACCGAAGUCAACUCGGCACCGCUCCCUUUCCCCGGGUCGAGAAAGCCUAAGACUCCUGCUGCUGCCAUGCCACCUGCACCGCAGUCAGAGAGCUCGUCUGAGUCGGAUCGCCCAGCACUGACACCUGCCGUGGCACCGACGAUGUCGGCAGCGUCGAUUUCGGUCCCACAAGGGCCGUAAAGUCCGGUGCCUGUCAGCUCCCCGGCGUGAGCCGUGGUUUAGCUUACUAUUCGAUCCACACCGGAGACAUUCUCAAUGGCGAGGGAUCUGAUUGCCAUGACAGAGUCAACGCUGCCUCAUCCCCCAGCACCACCAGUGCGGGUAAUUCAGUCUAUCGGCAAGCCUGCCUUGAUAAGACAAUCCUCUGUCGGCACAGCAGAGCGGCACUGUUCACGAUCACGGUCCCGCAAACGUUCUAGGUCGCAUCAGCGCUCCCGCUCCUGACGCUGCUCACAGUCCUGGCACCGUUCUCCUCACCGGUACCGGUCACACUCGCGGCACCGUUCAGUAUCCCGUUCGCCGGCCUGCUAUUCCCGGCACCGCUCCAGGCACCCUGACUCCCGUAGCCGCUCCCGACGUCGAGCCUCGAGAUCUCGGUCGACCUCUUGGUACUGCUCCGGUCGCAGGUCCCGCUCUCGUUCCCGGUACCAGUAUGCCUCCCGGUACCGGUCCCCGAUGCCGAGUAGAGCAAGGUCCGCUAGAGACAGAGACUCUACCCAGGGCUUUUCAGCCCCUCCAUGACCAUCCAGACACACAUCAGUGUCCUCCCACGCGGACAGCUCUUACGCACAGGACCGCAAUUCUGAUGUGCCCACCAGAGUCUUCCAAGAGAUCCAGGCCCAGGACCAAGGACUCCAUCAGUGGUCAUUCUGGACACCUUGGGCGUACCACCAGGCCCAAGGCAUACCAGUAGUUCCGUCCUGCUCUGUCCAUCAGAGCACCGAGUGCCAGAGGUGACGGUUAGCCGUCCCCCUCCGACUGCUACAGAGGAAGCCCCAGUUCACCCACCAGACUCCCAGGUUCCACUGGAGCAGGAGGUCGCCCAGGAGCAAGAGGCCACACAGGGCCCGCUUGUCCCCGGCAACUCCUCUUCCUCUUCUCCAGAUGAGGCGGUGGCAGGAACAUCCUCCUCGGACCCUCCUCCAGUCGACCUGAGAGCCCAUCAGGACCUCCUUAGGAAGGUAGCUCUCACUAUGAACCUCCAGGUGUAGGAGGUCCCGGAGGUAGAGGACAUUCUGUCGGCGGAUGCCCCCACUAGAGUGGCCCUACUGUUUAUUCAGACCGUCCAGGCCAGUGCCGAUACUAUAUGGCAGUCUCCAGCCUCUCUCCGUCCUGCGGCCAGGGGAGUCGAGCAUAAAUAUAUGAUGCCCUCUAAAGGGUACAAAUACUUGUAUGUCCAUCCUCGUCCCUGCUCAUUAGUCAUCUAGUCUGUUAAUGAGAGGGAACGCCAUGACCAGCAGGCACCAGCCCCAAAAUCGAAGGAGGCUAGGCGAAUGGACUUACUCGGCCGCAAAGUGUACUCGGCAGGAGCCCUACAGCUCCGGGUGACAAAUCAACAAGCUUUGCUUAGCCGCUAUAAUUGUAACACCCGGGUGGCGGAGGGUAAGUUUACGGAGCUUCUCCCUCAAGACUCCCGCCAAGAGUUCGCUGCCCUCUUGGAGGAAGGGAAAAAGGUGGCCAGAACUUCCCUCCAGACCUCAUUGGAUGCAGCCGACUCAGCAGCCAGGACUCCGGCCUCGGGUGUUGCCAUGAGGCGCAUCUCAUGGCUUCAGGUGUCAAACCACCCACCGGAGCUGCAGUAUACCAUUCAGGACUUGCCAUUUGAUGGUAAAGGCCUCUUCUCAGAAAAGAUUGACCCCAGGCUGCAAAGGCCUGAAGGACAACAGGGUCAUCAUGCGCUCUCUCAGCAUGCAUACACCGGUGACCCAACGCAGGCCUUUCCGUCCCCAGCCUCACUGCCCAUACUCUGCUCCUAGACAAAGACAGGACUUUGGCAGGCGUCGCGGCCAAGAUGGUUGCAGACAACCAUCAGGACCCCAAGGGGGCCAAAAUCAAGGUCCCUUGAAACCACCACCGGGACCAAAGACAAACUUUUGAAGGUGCGCCUGAGGGCAGCAUACCAGUUACAGGCCAGGAUCCCUCUCCUCCCUUCUCCAACCAUCUCUCCUACUUCCUCCCGGCAUGGUCCCAGUUAACUUCAGAUCGCUGGGUCCUACGCACGGUGGAGUAUGAGUACCACCUCCAAUUUAUUUCAACCAAGCCCUCCCACCCUCCAACCCUAUCCCUCUUCAGGGACCCCUCUCACGAGCAAUUCCUCUUACAAGAAGUGCGGACGCUCCUUGCCAUCAGAGCUAUAGAGGAGGUACCAAUGGACGAAAGGGGCAAUGGGUUUUACUCCCAUUAUUUCCUAAUCCCCAAGUCGAAGGGAGGUCUCAGACCUAUCCUAGACCUGCGAGGACUCAACCAGUUUAUGAUAAAGUUGAAGUUCUGCAUGGUAUCCCUGGGGACCAUUAUCCCGUCCUUGGAUCCUGGAGACUGGUAUGCCGCCCUUGAUAUGAAGGACGCAUACUUUCACAUCGCCAUUUUUCCUCCACACAGGAGAUACCUCCGCUUUGUAGCCAACCGUCAGGACUUCCAGUUUACGGUCCUGCCGUUUGGCCUUUCUACAGCCCAAAGUGUAUUUACAAAGUGUAUGGCCGUAGUUGCCGCCUACCUCCGCCUACGUCGGAUACACGUUUUUCCAUAUCUAGAUGAUUGACUCAUCCGAGGGGCCUCCAAGACACAAGUCGCUCAGCAUGUGGGCAUCGUCAAGGACCUAUUCACACAUCUAGGCCUGAUGAUCAAUAUAGAAAAAUCCACUCUGGUUCCCACGCAGAGGCUAGACUUCAUAGGAGUUAUCCUGGACUCCAGUCUAGCCAGAGCCUGCUUACCACAACCGCGGUUUCAGGCGAUGGCAGCAAUCAUCCGAGGUCUACAGAAUUUCUCAACGACCUCGGCUCGCACUUGUCUCUGUCUCCUGGGUCACAUGGCUGCCUGCAUGUUUGUAACCAAACACGCCAGACUUCGCCUCCGUCCUCUCCAAGUUUGGCUCAACUCGGUAUACCGCCCGGGCAGGGACCCAAUAGACACGAUAGUCACCAUUCCCCCGAGCACCCUAGGCUCCCUAGAAUGGUGGCUAACUCCCUCCCUGGUGUGUACAGGGCUGCCGUUCCAUCCGCCCCAACCCUCAAUGUCCCUGACGACGGACACGUCAUCUCUCAGCUGGGGUGCUCACCUUGGACACCUUCGUACUCAAGGCCUCUGGUCAUCUCAGGAGCUGGCAUUACACAUAAAUGUCCGAGAACUGAGAGAAGUUCGCCUGGAAUGCCAGGCGUUCCAGCAACAGUUACAAGGCUGUUGUGUCUCAGUGUUUACAGACAACACAACGGCCAUGUACUACAUAAACAAACACGGAGGGACACGAUCCUCCCCCCUUUGUCAGGAGGCCAUCCAACUCUGGGACUUUUGCAUAGCCCACUCGAUAGAUCUGGUAGCGUCCUUUCUCCCAGGCUUUCGGAACACUCUGGCGGAUCGACUCAGCAGGUCUUUCCUGUCUCACGAGUGGUCAAUCCACCCAGACGUUAUUCAUUCUGUUUUCCGGAAGUGGGGAUUUCCCCACAUAGACCUGUUCACUUCCCGCACGAACAGGAAAUGCCAGAUGUUCUGCUCCUUCCAAGGUUUCUCCCUGGGAUCGGUCUCGGACGCUUUCCUGAUGCCGUGGAAGAGCCAGCUCCUUUAUGACUUCCCACCAUUCCCGCUGGUUCACAAGGUCCUGCUAAAACUCCGCAGGGACAGAGCGCGCCUCAUCAUGAUCGCUCCAGCGUGGCCCAGGCAGCACCCAUAUACCACGUUGCUCGACCUGUUGAUAGCCAACCCAACUACUCUGCCACUCCACCCAGACCCCAUAACUCAGGACCACGGCAGACUUCGCCACCCAGACCUGCAGGCCCUUCACCUCACGGUGUGGCUGCUGCGUUGCUAAACCCGUCAGAGUUACGUUGCUCUGCAUCAGUACGACAAGUUCUCCUGGGUAGCAGGAAACCUUCAACCUGGUCAAUGUAUCUGGCCAAGUGGAAGCAUUUCUCCUGCUGGUGUGAAACGCUUAAUCUUACUCCCACUGAGGUCUCGAUCCCCUCUAUUUUGGACUACCUCUGGUCUCUCAAACAGUAGGGCCUAGCAGUAUCAUCACUGAGGGUACACUUAGCAGCUAUCUCUACCUUCCACCCAGGUGAAGGUGGCCGUUCCGUGUUCUCACACUCUAUUGUUUCGAGGUUCCUCAAGGGCUUGGAGCGCUUAUACCCCAAAGUAUGUCGCCCAGCCCCGACCUGGGACCUCAACUUGGUUUUAACCAGACUUAUGUCUCCCCCAUUCGAGCCAUUAGCAACCUGCUUGCUACUAUACCUGUCUUGGAAGACAGCUUUCCUUGUAGCCAUUACAUCUGCCGUACACUGUUCCACAAGGACAAGGUGCAGUUGCGACCACACCCGGCAUUCCUCCCUAAGGUGGUUUUGGCCUUUCAUGUUAACCAGGACAUCUUUCUCCCGGUCUUCUUCCCGAAGCCACACUCAACGCGACGGGAGCAACAAUUGCACUCCCUGGACGUCCAUAGAGCGCUAGCAUUUUAUAUUGAGCGGACAAAACCCUUUCGUAAAACGCCACAACUCUGUCGCAAUAGCAGACCAAAUGAAAGGCCUACCUGUUUCCUCUCAGAGGAUCUCAUCUUGGGAGACAGCGUGCAUCCGCACUUGUUAUGACUUGGCUCAUAUUUCCCCAAGCCACAUCACCGCGCAUUCUAUCAGGGCUCAGGUUUCAUUUGCCGCCUUCCUGGCUCAUGUACCUAUCCAGGAGAUAUGUCGCGCAGCUACCUGGUCUUCGGUCCACACCUUUUUUUCACAUUAUGCUCUGGUUCAACAGUCCAGAGAUGAUGCAGCCUUUGGCUCAGCAGUUUUGCAUUCUGCAACAUCUCACUCCGACCCCACCGCCUAGGUAAGGCUUGGGAAUCACCUAAUUGGAAUGGAUAUGAGCAAGCACUCGAAGAAGAAAAGACGGUUACUCACUUUUGUAACUGUUGUUCUUUGAGAUGUGUUGCUCAUAUCCAUUUUAAACCUGCCCUCCUUCCCCACUGUCGGAGUAGCCGGCAAGAAGGAACUGAGGGGCGGUUGGGUCAGCAGGGGUAUAUAUCCAGCGCCAUAGUGGCGCCACUCCAGGGGGUGCCCAGCCAACCCACCAAGUGUUGCUAGGGUAAAAAUCUUCCGACAAACGUGCACGCGGCGCGCGCACACCUAACUGGAAAGGAUAUGAGCAACACAUCUCGAAGAACAACAGUUACAAAGAUGAGUAACCGUUUUUUCCCCCUUCCCAGGUGACCCACAGCAGUGAGAUAUCUUCCAGGAUUAACUCCUGUGGAAAAUGUUGGAAGAGUGUUCAGUGUAGGUGUCCCCUGCAGCUGUUUGCUUUCCCCAACGCACAGAAACCCCAGCACAGCCCUGAAGCAAUCAUUCCCCCUUCCCAGCUGCCCGUGUCAUCAACAGCUCAAAGACUCCAAAACCUGCGGAAGAAGCCACGAAAAAGCAAAGACGACAUGCUGCAAGCAGUUAUGGAUCACUCUGCCAGAGAGAAUAAAAGACUGCAGGACUGGAGGGAAAGGGAAAGCAGGAUCUGCCAGAGAAAUGCAGCGGCCAGGAAGAAAAGCACAAAGCAGCUGAUAAGCAUCCUGGCGCUCCAAGUGGACUCUAUCCAGGCGCUCGUAGCCAUGCAGGCAGAGCACUACCGCGCCAGCCUGCCCCCUCGUGCCAAAGCUCUUUCCCUUGUGCCCCAAUGUCAGCUCCAAAACCCCUUCCCCAGCGUCCAGGUUCUUACCUCCACCAGCUGCCUCCAACACCUGUAUGUUCACCAACCAGCCCUGAGAACUACGACCCUUAGCCUCUGCACUCAAUCCCCAUCACUAUGCAGUAUAGGCAUCCUGAAGUGCAGCAGUCAUUGCACAGCACUCCAGACAGGACAUAUUCAAACCUGUGACUGUACAGUUCCCCACCGCAUCCCCCUACCUUUUUAGGUUCCCAAAAUGUUGUGUCUGUCAAUAAAGUUAUUUUCUUUUCAAUAAAUGAA